rnacentral:rRNA from 1 species
GACGAACGCUGGCGGCGUGCCUAAUACAUGCAAGUAGGACGCUGAAGAGAGGAGCUUGCUCUUCUUGGAUGAGUUGCGAACGGGUGAGUAACGCGUAGGUAACCUGCCUUGUAGCGGGGGAUAACUAUUGGAAACGAUAGCUAAUACCGCAUAACAAUGGAUGACACAUGUCAUUUAUUUGAAAGGGGCAAUUGCUCCACUACAAGAUGGACCUGCGUUGUAUUAGCUAGUAGGUGAGGUAAUGGCUCACCUAGGCGACGAUACAUAGCCGACCUGAGAGGGUGAUCGGCCACACUGGGACUGAGACACGGCCCAGACUCCUACGGGAGGCAGCAGUAGGGAAUCUUCGGCAAUGGGGGCAACCCUGACCGAGCAACGCCGCGUGAGUGAAGAAGGGUGUCGGAUCGUAAAGCUCUGUUGUAAGUCAAGAACGGGUGUGAGAGUGGAAAGUUCACACUGUGACGGUAGCUUACCAGAAAGGGACGGCUAACUACGUG